AUUGAACGCUGGCGGCAUGCCUUACACAUGCAAGUCGAACGGCAGCAUGGAGAGCUUGCUCUCUGAUGGCGAGUGGCGAACGGGUGAGUAAUGCAUCGGAACGUACCGUGUAAUGGGGGAUAACGUAGCGAAAGUUACGCUAAUACCGCAUACGACCUGAGGGUGAAAGCAGGGGAUCGCAAGACCUUGCGUUAUACGAGCGGCCGAUGUCAGAUUAGCUAGUUGGUGCGGUAAAGGCGAACCAAGGCGACGAUCUGGAGCGGGUCUGAGAGGAGCAUCCGCCACACUGGGACUGAGACGCGGCCCAGACUCCUACGGGAGGCGGCAGUGGGGAAGUUUGGACAAUGGGGGCCACCCUGAUCCAGCCAUGCCGCGUGAGUGAAGAAGGCCUUCGGGUUGUAAAGCUCUUUCGGCCGGGAAGAAAUCGCACAGGCUAAUACUCUGUGUGGAUGACGGUACCAGCAUAAGAAGCACCGGCUAACUACGUGCCAGCCGCCGCGGUAA
rnacentral:rRNA from 1 species